UCCCGCCGUACCGCGCCGGCUACAGCACUAGACCCCAGGGCGAGGCCCAGGCUCGGCGGGCGCUGGAGGAAAUGACGAAACUGAUGCUCAGAGAUCAACGGGCGCACCCAAGGAGGAACUGACUGCUGGCAGACAGACUCCAGGACCUUAUCUCUUUACCACUACACCAGGAGGAGGCUUAACUGUCCCCCAGCCAGCCACUGCCAUCGGCAACCCGCCCCGGGUCCUGGGAGAUGGAGCUGAGAGGAAGCUCUGGACCAACCCAAGAGCUGGAUGCAGGAACUUGACCACAGGGGGCUCAGGGAGCAAAGAGCCCUCUCGGCAAAUCCCAUAGAGGGAAGGAACGGGGUCUUCCAGGCCAUGCUGUCCCCUGCCCAUUCUCUGCCCUAAACCUUCUCCAGAGCCACCUCCCACCACAGACACAGAAAGGGAGACGCGGGAAUGGACACAAAGGGCCCGUUCCCACAUGAUGCCCCGUCCCCAAGCCCAGGUACCUGCACGAUGGUGUCCAGGUUUUGCCGGGACGUGGAAACAGAGUUGAUGACCGAGGAGGGGCCCAUGGUGACAACGUUGAUGUGGUGGGAGGGAGGGGGUGGU